UGAACGCCCACCGCUUCCCUGAUCUGACUGCUAUGAGUUCUCUGAGGUGCAUGCUAGGUGAAACACCACUAUACCGAUGUAGGGUCGGAGACAGGGAGGGGCUAUCAGGGUUCAGACCCUUGCCAAUGGCUCGCCCCCCUCAACGAUUCGUAGCAGACAGUUUGUACUGUAUAUGCCUAAUGGCCGCAGCUAAUUGCAUAAUUAGCCCAUACGUACACAAAUAAUUAAACCAUUAGUGAUGUAGAAAAGCCCCUUAAACCAUGUACGGUUGUGAGACUAUAAUUUUGCGAUGGGCCAGUGCCUAAUCCAUCAAUCAGGUCGAUCUAUUGAUGUGUACCUACCAUACAUUGUAUCCCUAUAUGAACGAUGAGAGUAGAUUUUUUAUUUUGUAAAGUAAGACCUUAAACUGGUUGAUUAAUGUUUCAUAUAAAAUAGUAAAGUAGUCUACUAAUUAUGUGUCCUUUUAUAUAUAGUAGUCAAAGAUGAAACGAAAGACAUGAACAACUAAUGUGGUAAAUUAUUUUUCAAACCAAUUGCUUAAAACUUCGAGCUGCAACAUUCUUGGGGAGAAUUGUUAUUUUUUUAGUUCUAGAAAAUAAUUUUAUUCUUUAUCAUCGACACUAUCAUAACACUUAAUAUACUGUAAUAUUCCGUCUUUUACGUCAGCAAUAGUGUUUCGCCGCCCUCAUGUUCAAAUCUUGGCUCAACCGAUGCAAGCUUUUUGGAGUUCCCUUGAUUGAAGGAUUGCUUUUGUUAAUCUCAAACUCAGACGGGCUUUCGUUUUCCCUUCUGUUUAGGGAAGCAGUCAACAUCAUCAGGACUUCUACUUGUUUCAUCGGUUCUGGGACCCAAACUGCUGAGGGGACUUCCACAACUUGUAUUACUUGAUUUCCCUGUCUGAGACUACAAUCUUGUCCUAGGUGGAUUUUCCUUUCUCCUUCCCUCAUUUAUCUGCUAGGGUAGCAUGUCUAUUGGCAAGUUAAAUUGUCUCUGUUAUGUCAUUAGUUAAUUUCUCUUUACUUGUAAUGGUUUUUCUGACAUUUUUAAUUAUAUCUAGGAUGGCGAUGGACAUGUUGACCAUAUACCUGCACUAUGAAGGUGCAAAUCAGGAAGCCAAAAUUUUACAAAUAUCCAUGAUGAGGCGUGAUGUCUCGUAUUAUUACUGAAUCUUGAUGAUCGAGGAAGUUGGCUUUCAGGCAAUUGACUUUCUGUAAUCUAUGCGAAAAAAACCCGUCUAGGUGAGGGAAACGAGGGAUCUUACAGGUGAAUCUUUUUCAAGACUAAACCAACAGGGGACUGGAAUUGAACACCCACACCCAGGUUGCUAAAAAAAGGCGUACUUCUUCCAUCAAGGCUGCUUCAAUAGUAGUAUUCUGAGUAUGGAUUCAAGAACUAAGGCCGGUGGUAUUGAGUUAGGUGCUGAAUUUGCCCUUGUGCGCAGAGAUCAACCUAUUCUUGAUAAUGAGGAUUUGAUUCAAGAGAAGUAAUUGAGUUGCAGCUGAAUUCUUGGAUCAAGAAGCAAAUAAAAUUUGAAGAUUUUAGCUACCAAUAGUCGUAGUUUACAUACAUAGAAUGAAAAAUGUAAUAUCAUCCACAAGAUCUUUUUCUUUCCUCUAACUGAUGCAAAUGCUAUGGUGUAAUAUUCUCCAUAGUUGUAUUUUCUACGCUCAAAAUGAUAUAAAUGAUAUCUUUAUUGUAAUGUAUAUGUGUCAUACAGUCAUGUAUAUUCGUAAUAAAUAGCUUCAUAUUUUG